UACAUGGGGUGCAAACGUUGCUCGGAAUUAUUGGGCGUAAAGCGCGCGUAGGCGGUUACUUAAGUCGGAUGUGAAAGCCCUCGGCUUAACUGAGGAAGUGCACCCGAAACUGAGUAGCUGGAGUACGAAAGAGGGUCGCGGAAUUCCCGGUGUAGAGGUGAAAUUCGUAGAUAUCGGGAGGAACACCGGUGGCGAAGGCGGCGACCUGGGUCGAGACUGACGCUGAGGAGCGAAAGCGUGGGUAGCAAACGGG
rnacentral:rRNA from 1 species